rnacentral:lncRNA from 1 species
AUGGGCGCUGCUGGGUCCGAUGGGCGGUGCUGCGUUCGGUCCGGACGGGCGGGGACGGGCGGUGCUGGGUCCAAACGGGCGGUGCUGGGUCCAGACGGGCGGUGGGUCCGAUGGGCGGUGCUAGGUUCGGUUCGGAUGGGUGGUGCUAGGUCUAAAUGGGCGGCGCCGGAUCCGAUGGGCGGUGCUGGGUUCGGUCCGGACUGGCGGGUCCGGGUCUGGACGGGCGGUGCUGGAUCCAAAUGGGGGUGCAGUGCUGGAUCUGGACGGGCGGUGCUGGGUCCGAACGGGCGAUGGGUCCCAUGGGCGGUGCUAGGUUCGGUUCGGACUGGCGGUGCUGGGUCUAAAUGGGCGGCGCUGGGUCCGAUGGGUGGUACUGGGUCCGGACGGGCGGUUCUGGGUCUGGACGGGCGGUGCAGUAUCCAAAUGGGCGCUGCUGGGUCCGGACGGGCGGUGCUAGGUUCGGUCCGGACGGGUGGUGCUGGGUCUAAAUGGGCGGUGCUAGGCUCAGCAGGGGACCGGUGGGCGUGGCGGCACAGGUACGGAGCGCAGGGCCGGUGGAGCGCCCUCUCCGAAGGGCCCUGCGCUCCCCGCGCUCGCUGCUCCUCCUGCCCGCGCAUUGCCCCGGGGCUGCUGCGUGUUUCUUCCAGGGUGAUUCCUUUCCGCUGGGUCACUUCAAAGCCGACCUUUUCAAGCUGUUUUCUUCCGCGGAGGACACGUUGUUAG